CCCAGCCUGUAGCGCUGCUUGGGGUUGUUGUGCCCCAGGUGCAGGACCCGGCACUUGGCCUUGUUGAACCUCAUACAGUUAAAUUUCAAAAUGCAUGUCUUUUAGUGUGUUUGACAUAGCCCAGCUCUGGGAAUUGAGUGAUUAUGUGUAAUGCUCAACUUUUUAAAAUGUUGCUAACACUGAAAGAAAGGAGUGAAACUGUGACAUGGACCUCUCUUAGUGGUUCAGAGUCCCUAGGAGAAUUAAAAGCAAUGACCAUUUCAAAGAAGAAGAUGUACAGAGAGAAAGGAAAGUACGAGUAUUUAUGUUUUAGUCCAUGCGAUUUUCUGGCACCCGAUUCAUGAUGUUUGAACAUUUUGGGUUGGCUAUAUCUAGGACUGUGUACCUCAUCACUGUCUGAAUCCUCCGACUGCACUCCGUGGCCAGUGGCUCUUUCUUACGCGUCUCCACAAACUUCUGGGUGUGUUUCAGCAGUGACUUGCUGGGUGGGAACAGGCCGGUGCAGAGCCAAAGAAGCUGCCAGCCCUUGGUCACACUGUACCUGUGAAUGCAAAGCAAAUGGUUCUGCUGUAGCUGCACGUAAUUCUUCCUUUGACCACACACCAGCUUUAGGGAAGAGAAACACACUCGCAUCAUGGCACACGGUGGCAUUCAGCAGAGAGCUGCAAAUCAACAGAGUCUUCGCAUAGGAGCUGACAGCCCUUUUCUGUGCAACAACCACAGCCCGUAUGUGAAGGCUGCCUUGGGACAAAAAAGGGCUUCAGUAACACCUUUCUGGCCAUAGCGCACAGAGAAUGCUGAUGGGAGCAGCUAAAGGGAGAUGAAUAAUGGUUCCACUCCAUGGCCUAGCAGUGCCAGUCAGUGGUUCUGAGUGCUCUGCAAAGGAGGAUGAACAAGGAGACCCACCUUCUCACAACGGUACUCUCCAAACCGGAUGCCACGAAUGACUUGAUGGUAAAUGAGAUCUGUGCUGAUGGGAUCCUCCUGGGAGUUGUGCCAGGGGGUGAAGAUUUCCUUCCGAAAGUAAAGCCUCCAGGGUGCAUUGCGUUCAUGUGUGCCCUGCUCCUUUGCUAGCUGCUCACACUGAGAGAUGGCAUCUAGGACAUGAUCUCGUCCCCCACCCAGUGACCAGACCUAGAAGAAAGGGACACUGCAUUUACUGGCAUGUCUGCCUUGCAUCUGAGCAAAGGACAACAAGCCCAAACCUCCUUGGUCUCCUGACAGAAAAAACAACAACAACAAAAACCCCUGAAAAGAAGUCCAUUAAACAGAAUUGACCACUGAUGAAAUUCCAAGAAAGCUGAUGGAUUUACACAAGGAAUGAACAUGACCCAUUACCACUCUGCAGCUCCAUACCUCAAAGCCCAGGGGAGCCUGUCCUUCUCGGCCUCCGAUCACAGAAGAUUCCUAGUUUUCCUAUAACAGUUGUGGAAGACCCUUUGCUCACAGCUUGGUAGUGAUGCACAAAUGCUAGCCCUGGACUCCUGACUAGAAGUGUUGGAGCACUUGGGUGCCAGCUUGCUGCAGCCAGGCCUGCCAGAGGUUAGUUGUGUUACUGUUUCACCAGAAAGCAGAAAUGUCACAAGCUCAGCAAGCCCUGAGAUGCCCCAGAGUCCUCCUUGGACCCUGUUGUUUACCUGUCCAUGGCCAGAUGUUCUGGACAGCAGAAAACCACAUUGAGAUAAAGACUGAGGAAGAAAGAACAGGAUCAGAAAACAAUGCCAGGAGAACAGGCAGAUAACAGCUUGAAGACAUGGUGCACGAAGAACUGCUGAAGGUGCUCAUUGGCAAUGUUAAUGCAGAGCUGCUCAAAGCUGUGGAAGGACAAGGUGCAGAAUAGCAGCCAGCAGUUUGCUGAUGUCCCAGUGCUCAGAGUCUGAGAACAUGAGGAUCUUCAUAGCCGAGCGGAUGUGGGCAUACUCCUUUGCAUCAUUCCGGCCAUCACAAGAUGUGCAGUUGCCCUGCAAGACAUCACACUCAACAGGCAAGGAAAAUCUCUUGUCUCUCUUCAUAUCAUAUAAAUAUCAGAUAUAAGGAUGAGGAUUUUUGACACUGUUUCUGCUUAUUCAUUUUCUCCUAAGAUAUACAUACUUAUUAGCUUUCUCCCUGGCAUUCAUCUGAAAUCUAAGUGCCUGUGAAAGCGGGGGAUAUUUCCUACCUGCUUUAAGAUGUCCUUUAUGUUUCUUAAGGCUGACUUGGACAGAAGGCUUUGAACUGCCACAAGCUGCCUCUGUGGUGGACAGGUGGACCUUACAGUAAGUCUCUGAAACUGAGACUCACAGCACUUUUGAUGUUACUGCUUCUGGUACUCUAAGGAAAGGACUGCUGAUACUUGGUAACUAUCCAUCUGCAGCUCCUGUUGAUGGUACUUGUUUGCUGGAAGAAGCAAAUGGCAAAGGGAUAAUGGAGAAGAAAGCAGAGAUUGCUACCGUAGUGAGAUAAGUGUACUCUGAAGCAGUUCCCAGAUUCAGCAUCUUUUUCUGCUCCAGAUUCAUCCCCAUUAGCAUGCAAUAGAAGAUGUGAUAGUUCCUCUCCUCUGGAGCCUAGAAAGAAAGGAAUAGGCCAAUAUAGCCUUGUUAGUACAGGCUUGUAACACAGGAGCAGGCAGAAUGGACAUCUGCAAGUGCCCUCACCUGCCGGCAAACGCGUGACUUUUCCAGAAGAAACUGUUCUAUCUGGGCUCCUUCUAUCACACCACUGUGGUUGAAGUAGAUAUCAAUGUAUUUCCCAAAGCGACUUGAAUUAUCAUUUCGAACUGUCUUGGCAUUUCCAAAAGCUGAUUGGCAAAGGGCAGAGGUAGUAUCUUGAUUACUGCAGUUAAUGAACAUUGUGUCUAUUUUUAAGUCUCUUCUGUUUUUCUGCUGGCAUUUUACAAGUUGUGCACCAAAUGAUAGUGCUGUCAAGUACUAAAGAAUACAUGGACUAAGGCUCCCUGCUGAAAUGACAGGCAGGCAUACUGUGCAUCCAGAUAAUUGGGCCCUAAAAGAUAUAUUCAGGUGAUCCGCAUAUACACUAUAUCUGACCAGCCAAGGGAGCUGAGCACUUCUUAAUUAAGACCUGCAAAAGGACUUUCUGGGAACUCACCCGAUCCCUCUACUGAGAAAGAUGGAUGUCUUAGGGACCUACCCUACAGAUGUAU